UACGGGGGGGGCAAGCGUUGUUCGGAAUUACUGGGCGUAAAGGGUCUGUAGGUGGCCAACUAAGUCAGACGUGAAAUCCCUCAGCUUAACUGGGGAACUGCGUCUGAGACUGGAUGGCUCGAGUGCAGGAGAGGAAUGCGGAAUUCCAGGUGUAGCGGUGAAAUGCGUAGAUAUCUGGAGGAACACCGGUGGCGAAGGCGGCAUUCUGGACUGCAACUGACACUGAGGAGCGAAAGCUAGGGGAGCAAACGGG
rnacentral:rRNA from 1 species